GCUUACUGCAUUUUUUCUUACACAUGUGUUUUUCUUUUUUUGAAAACUUUGCUUUGGUAGGCCUUCUAUAUGGGGCCUGCCAGAGAUUAAACUCAACCAAAUUUUAUUUAAUGUCAACCGAUUAUUUAAUAGUCAAAACUUUCAACAACGGAUCUCUUGGUUCUCGCAUCGAUGAAGAACGCAGCGAAAUGCGAUAAGUAAUAUGAAUUGCAGAUAUUCGUGAAUCAUCGAAUCUUUGAACGCACAUUGCGCCCUUUGGUAUUCCAAAGGGCAUGCCUGUUUGAGCGUCAUUUCUCCCUCAAACCCUCGGGUUUGGUGUUGAGCGAUACGCUGGGUUUGCUUGAAAGAAAGGCGGAGUAUAAACUAAUGGAUAGGUUUUUUCCACUCAUUGGUACAAACUCCAAAACUUCUUCCAAAUUCGACCUCAAAUCAGGUAGGACUACCCGCUGAACUUAAGCAUAUCAAUAAGCGGAGGAAAAAUUCUA
rnacentral:rRNA from 1 species